rnacentral:rRNA from 1 species
UACGAGGGGGGCGAGCGUUGUUCGGAAUUAUUGGGCGUAAAGGGUGCGUAGGCGGUUUGGUAAGUCUUAUGUGAAAUCUACAGGCUCAACUUGUAGUCUGCAUGAGAAACUGCCGGGCUUGAGUAUGGGAGAGGUGAGUGGAAUUCCUGGUGUAGCGGUGAAAUGCGCAGAUAUCAGGAGGAACACCAAUGGCGAAGGCAGCUCGCUGGGACGGUACUGACACUGAGACGCGAAAGCGUGGGGAGCAAACAGG